UCUGCUCCCACAGUCGCCCCAUCAGCAGCAUCCUCCCCUCUGCUGGACCGUGAUAUUCCAGGAAGGAGGAAGAGAUGCGGAGCAGAACUCUCUGCCUCAGAAGGAAAGCGACCACGACAUCCACACCAACAGAUUCUACAGCAUGGAUGGACUGGGAGCAAGCCAGGCUCGCAUGAAUAGUCUUCAAGCUGCAAGCACUGGAAUGCAAAAUACAAUCAAAAGUCUACACCACCUCCAACACUUUUAGUCUGUGUCUCGUCUGGGACCUGAAGCAGUCUUGAAGUGCGAACUCCUAUAUGACACAAA